UCCCCCGUGGUCCAGUGGUUAAGACUCUGCACUUUCACUGCUGUGAUCCCAGGUUAGAUCCUGGUGGGGGAA